rnacentral:rRNA from 1 species
UACGAGUGCCCCGAGCGUUAUCCGGAAUCAUUGGGCGUAAAGGGUGUGUAGGUGGCAGUGUUAGUCACGCGUUAAAACCUGGGGCUUAACCCCAGACGUACGUGUGAUACGGCACAGCUAGAGGAUGGCAGGGAUGUAUGGAACUCAUGGAGUAGGGGUGAAAUCCGUUGAUAUCAUGGGGAACACCAAAAGCGAAGGCAGUACAUUGGGCCACUCCUGACACUGAAACACGAAAGCGUGGGUAGCGAAUGGG